GCGGAUUUAGUAAUCUUAAAGUGACCUGAAAAAAUCUCACCUCAGUAACUGGCCUGUAAAGACAACAGCACUCACCCCUGGAAGGAUCCCAAGGCUAUUCACCUUCCUGAAAUUUUUAUCAUUUUUAUGGCAAGAAAGGAGCUAUAGCAAUGACCAGGGCUAGCUCCUUCAGUAAGUGAAAAGCCCUGGAACAUGCCAGAGCUGUUCAAGGAAUGGAACAAAAAGUAGCUUCUUCAACAGUGCAGCAGCCAGCCUGCAGACUUGUCAAAACUUUGAUACUGCAGGCUGUUUCUUCUCUGAUUACACACAACUAAAUCUCCAAUUGUGUUAGUCUCCAGUUCUGACUUGGGUAAGGCUGUUUGAGAGAGGUUUCAUCAACAGGAACACCGCACUGAGGCCAGGUGGUGUGUACCGUCAGUCUCUACCCCUGCUAAGAGAAAAAAAUGAUUUGGUUCUUUGUGUAACUGUACCUACCAGGCCACUCGGCACAGCACUGAAGGGACUGAACGUUACUGGCGUGGUAGGAUCCUGGUAAUUGGACAGAGUAAGACUGAGAAAACAAGACACAGUAAUGGUUUGAAACUUAGAGAUAACAGGAGUAUGGCCAGAAACACAAAAUUGUUCUUCAAAAAAAAGCACAAUCCCUAUCCUGUAGUAAAAUAUCCACUGAGGGGUGUGUGAACACGUAUAAUUCAAUUAAUGCUUCCUACCCAGGAAAGCAUUAGUGAGAAAGGUACAGGGACAAGAACUGCAAACCAUUCUGCAGAAACAGGUUGCAAUUUCUUGCAGCAUGUUUUAGUGUACUCUUAGUCCAUGUGAUCUAGCUUGUUACUUCUUAGUGGAUGUGCUUUGUUUCCUUUAAUUACUUCCACAAAUGGUCAAAAUAUUAGGUUUAUUUUUUUAGCCUAGUUUAUAUAAAUUCCUUUGUCCAUGUAGUUGUCACAGAGGACUUUGCUUGUUGUGUUUCUUUCUGAAAACUUUUUCUGAAAAGCAUUGAUAGGAAAGUUAAAACACCUGCAAGAUAGUUAGUAGGAGAGCUUUAUUUGUAAUAAACACAACAUUUAGAAUUGAAAACUAUCUAGCACAUUCAGCAGCCAUCCAAUCAAAAGCUGAAGGAGGAUAACCUACCUGAAAACCACAGUUACCAACCUAACACAUAUACAAGUUCUAAUCCUCUUGAAAAGAGGGAUUUAGUAGCCUAAAAAGCUGUAUUCCAGUUCAGCAAUUUCAGAGUGACAUUCAAAGGGAUUACACAGAAGAGUUGAAUGAUACUUAAGUGCUCUUAGGAGCAGGUCACAAAAUUUUGCUUUCCCUUUUGUACUUCUGCAAAGACCUUGGUCUGUACUCAAGCUUUGGUUUCUAGAAGCUCUUUUCCAGGCUUGCUCUUCAAACUAUUAUCCUUUUCUCUGGGUAAAAUAUUUUGAGUUUCAUAGGAUCAGAUGCAACUGUUAAGAGGAAAACACAAUACCUACUGUAUGCAGUUUAAACUCAAUUUUUUUCUUACCAGUGUCUCCCAUUUAUUUUGUGUAGGCAUUCCUCCAGAGCAUACUAACUCUAUUCUUAUUAUUAAGUAACCCAGAACAAUGGAUGGGUGAUCAGCCUGAACCUUGACAGGAAAUAAUUUACAUCUAUUUCACAAUUUAGUAAAUAAUUAUUUCACAGUUAUUUCAGUUGUGUCUUUAUCUUUUUAAUCUUUUAUCAUCACAGAGAAAAACCGUGUUACUCAAAAUCACACCCAAGCUGUCCAUACAACAUCACUAUCCACCGUCUGACAAAUCAGGAACAUGGCCAAAAAACCGUGUGAAUCCUUAUACAGCCCUUCCUUUGUUUACACUACACACUUCCAGUAUUUUCACUGUAUCUAGGCUUUCUGUGAUUAUAGAGAUGGUGAGUCGGAGUGUUCAGGAACAUGGGUGUAUAAUUCACUUUGUAGUUUAAAAUAACAUAGUCCUCUAAUUGUAAUUUGGCAUGACUUAGAAACAUGCCAGCAAGGGUAAGUGACUUAUACAAUGCCCACAAAUGUGCUAAGGUUAGAUAGGAAUCAGAAACCCAGAAUGAUGGAUGAAUCCCCUGGUGUGCACAAGAGAUAAGAGAAAGUGAAAAGGAAAAACACAUUAUGAGGCCAGCUGCGAAACCAGGCAGAAAAGGCUUUGCAGGUUAAGUCUACGUAAGGUGAAAAGGGCAAGCGGAGGAAGACUCAGAGCCUUCAUCACCAUGACCACCAGAGAGACCACCCAAAGAUUCUGCACAUGCGCAGGCAAAGAAUUAAGGGUGAGGAAAAUGUAAAUUGAUUCCAGGAAAAGGCAGGGAAAAUGUAAAUUAAUUCCAGGAAACCAUUACCAUAAUGAUGUAAUCAGUAGCAGAAACAGUAUAAGAGGAUGAAUAUUGAAACAAGGGGGGUGUGUGCCUUUGGAGGAGUGAUCCCCCAUGCACCUGGCGCCGAAAUAAGCGUACCUGCUUUAUAACUCUUUGAGUUGUGGAUUUUGUUCCACUGCUCAAUGUGAAGAAUUGGAUUAGCAUUGUUACAUCCCCGUUCUAUAAUGAUUCUUGAAGUAUUUAGGAGAUACUCCUUGAUGUCAAGAGCUGGGGCACAAUCAGGUUACAUUUUGUUUUAUAUCUAUUUCCAGCAUUUGUAGUUUUGGAGAAAAGCUUGAAGUUGUUCACAUGUAGAAUAGUCUAAAAGUGAGGUAAAUUAACACCCCAUUUGGAGUCUUUAACCUUUAAAACAAUCUCAAGGUUUUUGCAAGAGCUUUCGAAGAAAUACAAGGAUUUAGGUGGAGGAUAGCCUUUAGAAAAUGUUGAGGCUUUGUCCAUAAUGGUUCUGCAGUCAACGUAUGUAUGAUACACAGAAGUAAUACUUGUUCCACCUUUUUCCACUGUAAAAAACCUCAAAAUUCUUUCAAGCGCUACAUUUGGCAGCCCAGCUGCGUAUCUGGAAUCUCAGCUCUCACCACAAGAAUCACAUUGUACACCUAUCAUGCACUUGACCAUUUAUUCUACUUUUUGUCAGAUCAGCAGUUUAUGAUGCUAAUUAAAAGUAAAUUUACUUAUCUCAAACUAUUUACUUUUAU